GACAAAAUUCACCCAUUCUCACUUAUUUGUGGGAACUAAAAAUUAAAACAAUUUAACUCAUGAAGAUAUAGAGUAGGAGAAUUGUUUGCAGCUGCUGGCAAAAGUAGUAUGGAGGAUGAGAGGAGUAAGGGGUGAUGGUUAAUAGGUGCACACAUUUGGUUAGAAAGAAUAAAUAACGCCCUGUGCCCCUUCCCAGCCUCCCGGCCCAAUUGCCAGCUCUCCUUCCUCGCACCGCCACCAUGCUCUCCGUCUGCGUCCUGCUUGCGUCCAUCACGGACCUGCAGCAGCUGCAGCUCUCGCCGCUGAAGGGUCUCAGCCUGGUAGACAAGGAGAACACGCCCCCAGUGCUGAAUGGGACCCGCGUCCUGGCCAGCAAGACCGCGAGGAGGAUAUUCCAGGAACCCGCUAAGCCAAAAACUAGAGCAGCCGCCCCUGGCGUGGAGGAUGAGCCGCUGCUAAGAGAAAACCCUCGCCGCUUUGUCAUUUUCCCCAUCGAGUACCACAACAUCUGGCAGAUGCAUAAGAAGGCGGAGGCCUCCUUCUGGACCGCUGAGGAGGUAGACCUGUCCAAGGACAUUCGGCACUGGGAAUCCCUGAAGCCUGAGGAGAGAUACUUUAUAUCUCACGUUCUGGCUUUCCUUGCAGCAAGUGAUGGCAUAGUAAAUGAAAACUUGGUGGAGCGAUUUAGCCAAGAACUUCAGAUUACAGAAGGCUGCUGUUUCUAUGGCUUCCAAAUUGCCAUGGAAAACAUACAUUCUGAAAUGUAUGGUCUCCUUAUUGACACUUACAUAAAAGAUCCCAAUGAAAGGGAAUUUCUCUUCAAUGCCAUUGAAAUGAUGCCUUGUGACAACAAAAAGGCAGAUUGGGCCUUGCGCUGGAUUGGGGACAAAGAGGCUACCUAUGGUGAACGCGUUGUAGCCUUUGCUGCAGUGGAAGGCAUCUUCUUUUCUGGUUCUUUUGCAUCCAUAUUCUGGCUCAAGAAAUGAGGACUGAUGCCUGGCCUCACAUUUUCUCAUGAACUUAUUAGCAGAGAUGAGGGUUUACACUCACAUUUUGCUUGCCUGAUGUUCAAACACCUAGUACACAAACCAUCAGAGAGAGUAGGAGAAAUAACUAUCAAUGCUGUUCGGAUAGAACAAGAGUUUCUUACUGAGGCCUUGCCUGUGGAGCUCAUUGGGAUGAAUUGCACUCUAAUGAAGCAAUACAUUGAGUUUGUGGCAGACAGACAUGCUGGAACUGGGUUUUAGCAAGGUUUUCAGAGUAGAGAAUCCAUUUGACUUUAUGGAGAAUAUUUCACUGGAAGGAAAGACUAACUUCUUUGAGAAGAGAGUAGGCGAGUAUCAGAGGAUGGGAGUGAUGUCAAGUCCAACAGAGAAUUCUUUUACCUUGGGUGCUGAUUUCUAAAUGAACUGAAGAUGUGCCUUUAUUUUGCUGAUUUUUUUUUCCAUCUCAUGAAAAAAUCAGCCGAAGUGUUACCAACUAGCUACACCAUGCAUUGUCCAUGAUGUUCAUUAACAUCAUCUUUAAAACUGUAGCUACCUCACAGCCAGUCCUGUUUAUUUAUAAUGCUGGUGCUAUCACCUUUUGCUAGCAGGCUGGCUGGCUGUGACUUACCAUAGUCUUCUUGGCUUUAAAAUGAGGGGUGAGCUUCUAGUGAGCUUGACACAGCAGGAUUAAACAUUUCAUUUAACCAGCACAGGCAGUGGAAAGAUGCAGUCUCACUGCUUCAAUGCAGAUUUUAAUGUUUACUUAAGUAUAAAACUGGCACUUUACAAAUAAACAUUGUUUGUACUCAAAAGAUGAUAAUAGCUUGAUUUAUUUGGUUUCUACACCAAACACAAAGCAUUCUCCUGACCACUAACAGGAGCCAAUUCACAAUUCACUAAGGGACUAAAGUAAGUUAAACUUGUAUAGACUCAGCAUGUAAUUCUAACUUUUAUUUUAAUGAAUUAAAAUACUCAUUAACCAACUUUAAAGUCAAUACUGUGUAUAGCUAGAUAUUAGUCUGUUAGUGCCAGAUACAAGAUGGGUUGUGUGUUUCCCCUGUGGCUUGGAUAGUGUUCUGGGAUUCUCUGCCCCAUCUGAGUAGAGUGUUGUGGGAUCAAGGAAUCUCUCAGGGCAAGGAGCUUCUUAAGUUAAAUCCCUAGAAAUUUAGGCAUGAUCUGGGCCUUCAUAUGGGUGAGAAGCCGUUUCAUUUUAUUUGUCACUGUAGUUUCCCCAACUUCUAGUUGAUAAGAUUCUUGAAGAGUUUUCAUAUGUGGGAGCUGUGGUAGUAUUGUAAAAUUUCAAAUCAUCCUUAAACAAAAUGACCCACCUAAGAUCUUGCUCCUGUUAAGCGGCAAAAUUGUUGUUUAUUCUAGUUUUGUUUGUAUGUAAGUAGGUUGUGUGAGUUAAUUCAUUUAUAUUUACUAUGUUUUUUAAAUUAGAAACUUUUAAAUUAUACAUGUCCUUUUUUAGAUUUUGCUGUAGUUCAUACUUUGAAAUAAUUGCCCAGUGUCUUAUUUUAGCAUUGCCUAAAUCUGACCAUCAUCAAGGGGAAUCUUAAGCUUCAGUAGGAAACCAUGAGUUAUAAAUACAGUUUCCAUUCAAAUAUUCAUUUCGUAAGAAAACUAAUAUUCUUAAUAGGGCUACUUUGAAUUAAUCUGUCUUUAUGUUUGAGAGAAAAGAAAACCUGUGUUUAUAUUUAGGAGAAGCCAUGAGUUAUUAAUACAGUUUCCAUUCAAAUAUUAAUUUCAGAAGGAAACAAACAAAUAUUUUUAAUAGGGCCACUUUGAAUUAAUCCGCCUUUAUGUUUGAGAGAAAAAAGCUGAGACAUUGCUUGAAAGAUGAUGCAAGAUAAAUGUUGACCUUUUGCCCCCAUUUGUUAAUUGUAUUCACUAUUUGAACAUUGUUGUGUUCUGUUGUUAGGUUUCAUCAUUUAUUGUAUAGUUAAUUUUUAAAUCUCUGUAUACCUUUCCCUAGCUUUUAAGUUAUUGUUACCUAAAGUUAAUGAAUCCAGAUUAUAUGGUCCUUAUACUUAUAUAACAUUAAAAUAAAGAAAGGCUUUGCCUUGCAUUGUGGGAUACAGGCAGAAGUUAGAA